CCUUUUGCCCUCUGCUGGAAGCAAUGUCAGAUACCAGCAUCAGACCCUCGCCAGUCAUGCCAGAUCCUGUUGAGUCUUGAAACCCAGAUUGCCUUGUUGGAUUAUUAAACCUUUGAUUUGUGACAGACCUUGCCUUGGAAAACAAACUGGUAUGUGACCUGAGACCUCCCCCAACUCCAACCCUUGCUUAUCCACAUUCUCUUCAAGCCUUGUCUGCUUUAUAACCAAGCCCUGCUUAGGCAGCUGCCAGCUAAUUGUUUUACAGUGCUAUUAAUCACCUCAGUGCAGCCAGCAGAGACUGACAUAACCAAGCAUAUAGAAGAACAAACCUUGCCAAAGCAGAGCCAGCAUGGCUGCUCCAAAGAACUCAUGGACAUCCAAUGAAGCUGAAUGCUGGAAGAUUCAGGACACAUAAAAGAAAGUACUUCUUCAUGCAACUCAUAGUUAAGACCUCACUUGGAGUAUUAUGUCCAGUCUGGGCAUCGCAAUUUAAGAAAGAUGUCAACAAACUAAUAUCAAUGAACUAAAAUAUGAGAAGGGUGACAAAGAUGCUGAGAGGUGUGGGGACCAGAUCCCAUGAAGACAGUUUGAAGGAAUUUGAUGUGCUUAGCCCGGAGGUGAGUUGAUUAGGAGCUGAUAUGAAAGCCAUUUUCCAGUAUUUAAAGGACUGUUUCAUAGAUGAUGGAGCCAAUCUGUUUCCUGUUGCUCCAGUUUCAAGCUAUAAGAAAGCGGAUUUUGACUAAACUUAUGAUGAACUUCCUGAUAGUAUCAGCUAUUAAAUGGUGGAACAAAAGACUGCCUCAGAAGGUGGAUUCUCCUUCAUCAGAGCUUUUAAAGCAAAGGCUGGAUGGCCACCUAUCAGUGAUGCUGUAGCAGUGGACUUUCUGCAUCAGCAGAGGGUUGGGCUGGAUGACCUUUGAGAUCUUUUCCAACUCUGUUGUUGUUGUUGUUAAUUAUUAUUUACCUGCCCUUCACCCUAAG